GACGAACGCUGGCGGCGUGCUUAACACAUGCAAGUCGAACGGACGAGUGAGAUAAGUUUACUUAACUCACAAGUUAGUGGCGGACGGGUGAGUAACACGUGGAUAAUCUACCUGCAACACCGGGAUAACGCUGUGAAAACGGUGCUAAUACCGGAUACGUUCCCUUGUGCGCAUGUAUGAGGGAAGAAAGCUCAGGCGGUUGCAGAUGAGUCCGCGGCUGAUUAGCUAGUUGGUGAGGUAAAGGCUCACCAAGGCGAUGAUCAGUAGCCGGCCUGAGAGGGUGAACGGCCACACUGGGACUGAGACACGGCCCAGACUCCUACGGGAGGCAGCAGUGGGGAAUCUUCCGCAAUGGGCGCAAGCCUGACGGAGCAACGCCGCGUGGGUGAAGAAGGCCUCGGUGUAAGACCGUCUAUGGAGAAGUACAGUGAGGUACCGACUAGGAGGAAGGACCACGGCGUAACUACGUAGCCACGCAGCCGCGGUAACGGAAGUAGUACGAC
rnacentral:rRNA from 1 species